GUCUAUGGCCAUACCGCCGUGAACACCCUGAUCUCAUCUGAUCUCAGAAGCUAAGUGGGGCCAGGCCUGGUUAGUACUUGGAUGGGAGAAAUCUGAACAGAAUUUUGAGUAACAGAACCU
rfam:Myotis lucifugus cont2.4586, whole genome shotgun sequence.